rnacentral:rRNA from 1 species
ACAGAGGGUGCGAGCGUUAAUCGGAUUUACUGGGCGUAAAGGGCACGUAGGCGGUAGGAUGUGUGUGAUGUGAAAGCCCCGGGCUCAACCUGGGAAGUGCAUCGCAAACUAUCCAACUAGAGUAUAUGAGAGGGUGGCGGAAUUUCCGGUGUAGCGGUGAAAUGCGUAGAGAUCGGAAGGAACGUCAAUGGCGAAGGCAGCCACCUGGCAUAAUACUGACGCUGAGGUGCGAAAGCGUGGGGAUCGAACAGGAUUAGAUACCCUGGUAGUCCACGCUGUAAACUAUGAGUACUAGAUGUUGGUAGGGGAACCUAUCAGUAUCGAAGCUAACGCGAUAAGUAUUCCGCCUGGGAAGUACGGCCGCAAGGUUG